UAAAAUGUAAUUGGAAGAGAAAAUAGUAACAUAAAAGAUAAAAAAAAUACGUAAGAGAGGAUGUUGAGUUUAGAAUGCCAAUGGAGAGAGGGAAAAAAUAUUAAAUACAAGAGAUUAGAGAAGAUAAAAAAAAGAACAUAAGAGAUACGGAAUUGAGAAGAAAGGUCCGAUAAAAAUGUAAUUGGAAGAGAAAAUAGUAACAUAAAAGAUAAAAAAAAAAGAACGUAAGAGAGGAUGUUGAGUUUAGAAUGCCAAUGGAGAGAGGGAAAAA
rnacentral:lncRNA from 1 species